AAGCUUUUUCUAUAUCCUUAACUGAUUCUAUUUGAAUUAAAAUUGGUUGGUUUAAUUUGAGUUCAAAUGGGUUUGAAUUUGAAUGAAAACCUAGAGUCCAAAUUGAGUUGGAUUCUCCUCUUCACACCACCAUCUUUCUCCAUGCAUAAAGUAUUUUUGUAUGAGAUUUUUGUACCAUUCUGAUAUUGGUCAUGUUGGGUUCCAGUGGUG
rnacentral:lncRNA from 1 species